GGCGUAAGGGUUUGUAGGCGGCUUUAAAAAAAUAAUAAUUAAAGCUAGAAUCAAAUAGAGGUCACCGUGAGAGAACACUUAGUGUAGGGCUGAUAUCUGUAAAUACUUAGUGGAAUUCUAAUUAGCGAAGGCUCUUUUCCAAAUAAUGAUUGACGCUGAUAAACGAAGGGGAGGAACGACAAUAGGAUUAGAUACCCUGGCAUCCCUCUCUGUCAACGAUGAAUGGUAGUUGCUAGUUCUUAUGAGUUAGUGGCGAUGUAAACACGUUAACCAUUCCGCCUUGUGAGUACAAUUGCAAAGUUGAAAACAAAAAAAUUAGUCGGUUUCGGAGCAAACGAAGUGAAGCAUGUUAUUUAAUUCGAUAAUCCGC
rnacentral:rRNA from 1 species